rnacentral:rRNA from 1 species
AGUGAACGCUGGCGGCGUGCCUAAUACAUGCAAGUCGAACGAAGUGGCGCACGGGUGAGUAAUAUAUAGUUAAUCUGCCCUCCACAGAGGAACAACAGGUGGAAACGACUGCUAAUACCUCAUAGUGUAGGAUGAGACUAUAUCGUAUCAGCUAGGUGGUAAGGUAAUGGCUUACCAAGGCUAUGACGCGUACGUGGUCUGAGAGGAUGAUCAGUCAACUUGGAACUGAGACAACGGCCAAACUCCUACCGGAGGCAGCAGGAAGGAAUAUUGCGCAAUGGGGGAAACCCUGACGCAGCAGCGCCGCGUGGAGGAUGAAACGUUUCGGAGCGUAAACUCCUUUUAUCAGGAAAGCGGUACCUGAUGAAUAAGCACCGGCUAACUCCGUGCCAGCAGCCGCGGUAAUAC